GCCGCUGUAGCUUAGUGGUAGAGCACCUGCCCAGCCACUUAGAGGUGGUUGGGGCUAAAAGGAAGACCGGGUUUCAAUUACCCGUGGCGGCG
rnacentral:tRNA from 1 species